rnacentral:rRNA from 1 species
AGCGAACGCUGGCGGCAGGCCUAACACAUGCAAGUCGAACGAACCUUUCGGGGUUAGUGGCGGGCGGGUGAGUAACACGUGGGAACGUGCCUUUAGGUUCGGAAUAACUCAGGGAAACUUGUGCUAAUACCGAAUGUGCCCUUCGGGGGAAAGAUUUAUCGCCUUUAGAGCGGCCCGCGUCUGAUUAGCUAGUUGGUUGAGGUAAUGGCUCACCAAGGCGACGAUCAGUAGCUGGUCUGAGAGGAUGAUCAGCCACAUUGGGACUGAGACACGGCCCAAACUCCUACGGGAGGCAGCAGUGGGGAAUCUUGCGCAAUGGGCGAAAGCCUGACGCAGCCAUGCCGCGUGAAUGAUGAAGGUCUUAGGAUUGUAAAAUUCUUUCACCGGGGACGAUAAUGACGGUACCCGGAGAAGAAGCCCCGGCUAACUUCGUG